GCAGGUCUUGCUAUGUCCAAACCAUAUUACAAUGACCAAAUGGUCCAGUCAACAAAAGAAAAUUCAACCACCAAUGCAUCUAGUAGCUUCAGAUUGUUUGGAGUUGAUCUAACGGCUUCUACCAAAGCAAGAGAUGUUUUGGAACCACUUGAAUCAUACCAAAAGAGUAAAAUUUCUGAAAUCUUUGAUGAAGAAAAGCUUGAUCAAAUUCAAGCAGUGACAUCACUAACAGAAAUCCAAACGAAGAAAAUAAGGUGUACUACAAGUAGUACCAAGGUAUGACUAAGAGCAUCUUCUACUUAUUCUUUACUUUUUAGUCAAUUCUAAAAUUAUUAAUUAUUAAUAAGUAGAACAUGAUAAGACAUAGGCUUUGUAAAAUUAUUCAUGUUCUUUUUAAGAAAAGACUAGAUUUUAUAUAUGGUUGCACACACAGUUUUAUUCUAAUACAGUAGAUUUGAUAUUGAUAAGAAACUUGAAUAACUUUUUAACCAGAUUGAGAUGACUAUAUUUAAUUCACAAACACUUGAUAUGUUUAUUGACCAGGUUCACAUGGAAGGUGUUGUUAGAACUGUUGAUUUAACUGAUUUUGAUGGAUACAAUCACAUGAUCCUUGAACUAGAAAAACUCUUUAAUAUCGAAGGCAAGUUGCAUAUGCACAGUCAAUGGAAACUAACCUUUAAAGUUCAUGAAGGAGAUAUGAUGCUUGUUGGAGACGAUUCAUGGCUGAAAUUUUGCAACACCGUGAAGGAAAUAUUCAUAUGUUCAAAAUAAGAUGCCAUAAAAUGAAAUUUGAGAACCAAUUCUCUAAAGGUGACUCAGCAUUUACAAAAAUAAUUUCACCGUCCGAUGUCGAGACAGUCAAAAAGGGGGUUUUGUUACUUUUAAUGCGUUUUUAUAUAAUACUAGGGUUUGAUCUCUGUUCACCCAGAUAUUUUACUUUUAUUUAACAUUUGUGUUUAACUUGAAGAGUUUGGUUUUAUAUUAUGUGUGAUAUUUAUUAUUGUGAUUGCUCUUCUUUACUUUUAUCAACUCUUUUCAUUGAACUUAUUUGUUAUAAGGAGAUUAAGACUCAGUUUUGUUGUGUUUACUAAAUUGCCUUAUACAAUUACUGAGAUAGUUUGAAUGGGACUAUGUUCUGUUUUUAUUUUGGCGAUAGAACUUUUAAUCAUUUUCUUAUUUUAAAUCAUCUAGUUUCAUGUCUGCUCUUAUUUGUUUUUGGUAAGUUGUUUUAUAUUGCAUUCUUUCGAAUUGUGCAACUAUAUAUUUUUAUUUCCAUAUCAAUAUUGGAAUUAUGGUUGAGUUUUUAAAAAAAAAAUUAUGUAUGUUACCUUACAAUUUAUUUCUAUACAAUAACUGUUGAUCUCUUAUUUCUGUCAUGUAAACAAACUUUUAGUUUGUUUGUAGUACUAACAUAUGGUUAUUAACAUUUACCAACUAAGCUAAUGGAGAUUUUAGUCAAAAAUAGUUGAAAUAUUACAUAUUAUUUUCAAGGCUGGAAGCACAUGCUACCCCAGCUUCUAUCCAGGGCCGACACUGCUUACAUCGUGAUGAAAAUCUUGUGAACAAGAUCGAAGAUAUUUCUAAAUACAUGAACAUUUAAGUGGAAGAGUUGUGUAAGAGAGUUGACGUGCUCACCAGGCUUCACUAUGCCUCAUCAAAAUCAAUGCCAUAAGCUCUGUUCUUUUUUUUUUUUAAUUUAUGCUUUCUUGAGUUUAAAGUCUUUUGAUUUGUUAGCAUCAUCUUCUGAAUGGAUUUAGGUAUUGGCUUUUGUAAUAACUUGGCUAUGUUGUUUUGUUUCUUAAUCAAACCGACUCUGUUUUUAGUCCUUUACAUAGAGAAUCAUGAAGAUAUAAAACAUAAUUG